rnacentral:tRNA from 1 species
GUUUGCAUGGUGUAGUGGUUUGAAUGCUGGACUAGGUCUCUGGAGACUAGGGUUCAAAUCCCUGCUUGACA